GAUGAAGAACGCAGCAAAAUGCGAUACUUGGUGUGAAUUGCAGAAUCCCGUGAACCAUCGAGUGUUUGAACGCAAGUUGCGCCCGAAGCCUUUUGGCCGAGGGCACGUCUGCCUGGGCGUCACGCAUCGCGUCGCUCCCCACAAAUUCUCCGUCAGGGGAGCUUGUGUUUCGGGGGCGGAUACUGGUCUCCCGUGCUCAUGGCGCGGUUGGCCGAAAUAGGAGUCCCUUCGAUGGACGCACGAACUAGUGGUGGUCGUAAAAACCCUCGUCUUUUGUUUCGUGCCGUUAGUCGCGAUGGAAGCUCUUCAAAAACCCCAACGCGUCGUCUCUUGACGGCGCUUCGACCGCGACCCCAGGUCAGGCGGGACUACCCGCUGAGUUUAAGCAUAUCAAUAAGCGGAGGA
rnacentral:misc_RNA from 1 species